rnacentral:rRNA from 1 species
UACGGGGGGGGCAAGCGUUGUUCGGAAUUACUGGGCGUAAAGGGCUCGUAGGCGGCCAACUAAGUCAGACGUGAAAUCCCUCGGCUUAACCGGGGAACUGCGUCUGAUACUGGAGGGCUUGAGUGUGGGAGAGGGAUGCGGAAUUCCAGGUGUAGCGGUGAAAUGCGUAGAUAUCGAGAGGAACACCUGCGGCGAAGGCGGGUAGCUGGGCCGACACUGACGCUGAGGCGCGAAAGCCAGGGGAGCGAACGGG